CGCUGAGAGCCGACCCUCCUCCUGGACAGGGCGGGCACUUGCAGGUCCAAACUGGAAGGGCCAGGAACCUUGCAGCGGCGAUGGCGUGUGACUCGGCUAGACCUCCGCCGACAGUCCCAGAGCAUUCCAGCAGGUCAGACGUGAGAAGGGGAGCUGUGUGUAGCUCCGGGCCAGCACUGGAAGAAGUCCGACUGUCUUCCCAGGGGCGUGUGCUUGGGGACGGGACCCACCCCCUCCCCAGGCUGGUCGUCCGCCACAAGGCCGCCUCAGGACGUGGCGGAGGGCGCCGGGCUCAGUGUUGGAAAGGAAGAUAGCGGGGCCGCUCCCUUCGGCGUUGUGGGCCCUGGAGUGGAGGUGCCGGCGACGGGAGACGCCCGGGCCGCGUGGCUGCCCAAGCAGGAGCCCGACAGCCCGCCGCCCGCUGCCCCGGGCACCCCCGGGGUCCCCUGCCCCGAGUGCGG
rnacentral:lncRNA from 1 species